CUACAUGAUGUCUAGGCCAAGUUCCAACAUGGGCCUUGCCGGGUCAAAAACUAGGUCACGGGGUCACUUAGUGCGUUUUUUAACAUUCAGCAUGGUGUCCUCUCUCUUAUUCAAGUAGUUUUCAUCCGAUCUUCACCAAACUUGGUCAGAAGUUUUAUCUAGAUGAUCUGAAGGCCAAGUUCGAACAUGGGCCAUGCCAGAUCAAAAACUAGGUCACAGGGUCACUUAGUACGUUUUA